rnacentral:rRNA from 1 species
GACGAACGCUGGCGGCGUGCUUAACACAUGCAAGUCUAAUGAGUGGCGGACGGGUGAGUAAUGCUUGGGAAUCUGGCUUAUGGAGGGGGAUAACUACGGGAAACUGUAGCUAAUACCGCGUACCAUAGGAUGAGCCCAAGUGGGAUUAGGUAGUUGGUGUGGUAAAGGCUCACCAAGCCGACGAUCUCUAGCUGGUCUGAGAGGAUGACCAGCCACACAGGGACUGAGACCCGGCCCAGACUCCUACGGGAGGCAGCAGUGGGGAAUAUUGCGCGAUGGGGGCAACCUGACGCAGCCAUGCCGCGUGAAUGAAGAAGGCCUUCGGGUUGUAAAGUUCUUUCGGUAGCGAGGCGUUAACUACAGAAGGACCACCGGCUAACUCCGUGCCAGCCGCCGCGGUAAUAC